AUACGGAGGGGGUUAGCGUUGUUCGGAAUUACUGGGCGUAAAGCGCGCGUAGGCGGAUUGGUCAGUUAGGGGUGAAAUCCCAGGGCUUAACCCUGGAACUGCCUCUAAUACUGCCAGUCUUGAGUUCGGGAGAGGUGAGUGGAAUUCCUAGUGUAGAGGUGAAGUUCGUAGAUAUUAGGAAGAACACCAGUGGCGAAGGCGGCUCACUGGCCCGAUACUGACGCUGUGGCGCGAAAGCGUGGGGAGCAAACAGGAUUAGAAACCCCAGUAGUCC
rnacentral:rRNA from 1 species